CCUAGUGGGUAGUGACUGCCUGUGAAGCUGAUGGUCCUGGGUUCAAAUCCUAGUAAGGGCAUUUAUUCAGUGAUGAGCACGGAUAUUUGUUCCUGAGUCAUGGGUGUUUCUAUGUAUUUAAGUAUUUAUAAAUUAUAUAUAUCGUUGUCUAAGUACCCACAACACAAGCUUUAUUGAGCUUACUGUGGGACUUAGUCAAUGUGUGUAAGAAUGUCCUAUAAUAUUUUUUUUAUAUAUACAUAUGUAUAUGUAUAUGGUCGUGAUGAUGAUACAAUCAUUGUUUACAUGAUAUAGUCUAAUUUCACGAAUUUUCAAAUGAAUGCCUGCAAAAAAUAGCAAUAUGAUAAAUUAUUUGCCGCUACUGUAUGUAGUAAUAGUUAUUUACGAUACAAGUGCGGAAAAGAGGAAAUUCAAAACGAGUGGCGAUAAUAUUAAAUAUAUUAAUAACGGGUCACUCACGUGUUUUAAGUCGAAAACGCUCGACAUGUUUCACUCCGUACCGAGGAGCGAGGAGGAGGAGUGGCGAUAAAUUAAAACACGACCGCAGGGAGUGUUUUAAAUCGACACGAGUUGCGAAUUACCUAUUCGCACGUGUAUCGUACAACGUUUUACAGUACAUAUGGCCCUUUAAACUUUCGACAUAUGCACGAAAAGUGCUCUUUUACGCACUAAUGCGAGGAAGUAGCACUAUAUGUACUGUAAUAGUUAUUUACGAUACAAGUGCGGAAAAGAGAAAAUUCGAAACGAGUGGCGAUAAAUUAAAACACGACCGCAGGGAGUGUUUUAAAUCGACAUGAGUUGCGAAUUACCUUUUCGCACGUGUAUCGUACAACGUUUUACAGUACAUAUGGCCCUUUAAACUUUCGACAUAUGGACGAAAAGUGCUCUUUACGCACUAGUGCGAGAAAGUAGCACCAUAUGUACUGUAAAAUAAUUUAGUUUAUAAUGGUGGAUAAGAUUUUAUACGUCUUUUUAAUUUAUAUUUUUAUGGGUAAACGUGAAUUAUGUUGUGAUACUAACAAGCGCAAAUCAGGGUGACAAACUUAACGUUUUAUUUAUUUUAAUAAAUGACGAAAACUGUUUAGACUGUUUUUUAAACUACGCUUUGUCCCUUUAAAGACUUUUGUAUUCUUCUUCUUUUUCAUCCUGUUAUCCUCCGCUGGGUAGGGCUCAAAUAAGGUCUCUAUUAUUUCCCAUAAAGUUUAAGUCAUAAUGUAUUGUUUGUCCGCAUUUUCGUUAGUCAUAAUUCGGUUUUUCUUAGAAACGCGUAACUUUUCAGGGUUGCCAUAAAACAAACCUAACCUAACCUAUCUAUAGGAUAACCUAACGAAAAUCCUGAAAAGUUAACGGUUUCAGAAUUAUGACUAAUUAUGUAAUUAUAAUCUGACAAACAUUACAUUAUGACUCAAUAAUUAUGUCAAACAAAGGGACCCCGCUCGAAUCAUUUCUUUCACUGACUCCGGUCCGGUAGGUACCUAAUCUGUCUGAUCUUGUCACAGGGCGGACACGCUACAUAUCAAAAAUCACUUGCGUUUCUACGUGUGAACGGCACGGCUGUACACGCGUCAUGCGUCAUAGUGUAAGUAAGUUGCUUAAAAAUAGUACUGAGCGGCCGGCAAACGGCCGUCAAUCUGCUGUCGCGGGGCGAGGUAAUUCGUUUCGGUGCGGGGCGGUGCGUGGCCGUUCUGUAUGAUAAUACUAUUACUUAUUCUGUGAUCUUGUAGUAAAAUGGGUAAAAUUGGGCAAUCGAAAUGUAAUUUUGGUAUCUAGCAUAUAAAAACAGUUAGUACCAGACUAUGUGGAUUUGUGUAAAGAUGUAAUGCAUAAUUGUUUUCUAUCGUAUUUUCUCGGACACGUUCGUAUUUGUCAUGCUACUUCAGUCAACCUCAGUACUUUUUGUACCGAGACUGACUGAAAUAGCAAGACACGUUCGUACGUUUCCGUGAAAAUACGAUGGAUAAUAAUUAUGCACUACAUCUGUACAGUACGUAUUUCAGUUCUUAGUGUAUAGUUGACAAAAUACAAUUUGCAUCGAUUCCCGAUUCGACAUACGAGAGAUAGGGAAUGCAUACUAUAGGGCAGUUCAGGAGCUGUCAGAUUUUUGGCGCGAGGCGUAAAUGUGAAGAUGCUUCCGAUGUAGCCCACAAGAUGGCAGAACCUAUUAUGCACAAAAAAACGUACGAGAUCGGUAGAUGGUAGUACUUGCUUUGGCAAUGUACAAGUUUAUGUUUCCGAUUCAGGCCACCAGAUGGCAGAUCCUCCCGCGCAAGGUCUCUAUCGGUUGAAAUUAUAUUUCAUCAACCAUACCUAUAACCAUGUAACCUGUAACAGCUGUCAUUCUGGUACGUUAAAUUGUGCCAGAAUGACAUCUCUCACAGGCACGAUAAAUGAAAACUGCAGAUAAAAUAGAUAUUUGAGCAUUUUGUGGCCAAAUUACAUACGAAUUCUUAAAUUCAAAGACAGUUUUGGUACCAGGAUCACAAGAGUUAGAUGAAGUGCGGUUACUUUCUCAUAGUUUAAUCGUAAAUUGAACUAUAUGACAAGGUGCCUAAAGUUGUAUUUCGCCUGCUUCUGGCGCUUAUUGUUAAAAAUGGACGAGGUGUGGGCAGUCAUGUGGAGCGAUUUUAAAUAUUUUGUAUGAAUAGAAAUAGAAUAAUCUAUUACAA